rnacentral:ncRNA from 1 species
GAGAGUCGUGUGAUGGGUAACUAUCUAGCACGGUUCAGAGAGAACUUUUAGUAUGUGCUGGUGAAUGGAAGUCCCCCAUAUCAAGCAAGAAGGAAGAAGCUCUUCCCAUGGCGGAGUCACCAUUGACUCUAU